GGGUUGUGAGGUUAAGCGACUAAGCGUACACGGUGGAUGCCCUGGCAGUCAGAGGCGAUGAAGGACGUGCUAAUCUGCGAAAAGCGUCGGUAAGGUGAUAUGAACCGUUAUAACCGGCGAUGUCCGAAUGGGGAAACCCAGUGUGAUUCGUCACACUAUCGUUAACUGAAUACAUAGGUUAACGAGGCGAACCGGGGGAACUGAAACAUCUAAGUACCCCGAGGAAAAGAAAUCAACCGAGAUUCCCCCAGUAGCGGCGAGCGAACGGGGAGCAGCCCAGAGUCUGAAUCAGCUUGUGUGUUAGUGGAACGGUCUGGAAAGUCCGACGGUACAGGGUGAUAGUCCCGUACACCAAAAUGCACAGGUUGUGAACUCGAAGAGUAGGGCGGGACACGUGGUAUCCUGUCUGAAUAUGGGGGGACCAUCCUCCAAGGCUAAAUACUCCUGACUGACCGAUAGUGAACCAGUACCGUGAGGGAAAGGCGAAAAGAACCCCGGCGAGGGGAGUGAAAAAGAACCUGAAACCGUGUACGUACAAGCAGUGGGAGCACCUUCGGGUGUGACUGCGUACCUUUUGUAUAAUGGGUCAGCGACUUAUAUUCUGUAGCAAGGUUAACCGUAUAGGGGAGCCGCAGGGAAACCGAGUCUUAACUGGGCGUUAAGUUGCAGGGUAUAGACCCGAAACCCGGUGAUCUAGCCAUGGGCAGGUUGAAGGUUGGGUAACACUAACUGGAGGACCGAACCGACUAAUGUUGAAAAAUUAGCGGAUGACUUGUGGCUGGGGGUGAAAGGCCAAUCAAACCGGGAGAUAGCUGGUUCUCCCCGAAAGCUAUUUAGGUAGCGCCUCGUGAAUUCAUCUUCGGGGGUAGAGCACUGUUUCGGCUAGGGGGUCAUCCCGACUUACCAACCCGAUGCAAACUACGAAUACCGAAGAAUGUUAUCACGGGAGACACACGGCGGGUGCUAACGUCCGUCGUGAAGAGGGAAACAACCCAGACCGCCAGCUAAGGUCCCAAAGUCAUGGUUAAGUGGGAAACGAUGUGGGAAGGCACAGACAGCCAGGAUGUUGGCUUAGAAGCAGCCAUCAUUUAAAGAAAGCGUAAUAGCUCACUGGUCGAGUCGGCCUGCGCGGAAGAUGUAACGGGGCUAAACCAUGCACCGAAGCUGCGGCAGCGACACUAUGUGUUGUUGGGUAGGGGAGCGUUCUGUAAGCCUGCGAAGGUGACCUGUGAGGGUUGCUGGAGGUAUCAGAAGUGCGAAUGCUGACAUAAGUAACGAUAAAGCGGGUGAAAAGCCCGCUCGCCGGAAGACCAAGGGUUCCUGUCCAACGUUAAUCGGGGCAGGGUGAGUCGACCCCUAAGGCGAGGCCGAAAGGCGUAGUCGAUGGGAAACAGGUUAAUAUUCCUGUACUUGGUGUUACUGCGAAGGGGGGACGGAGAAGGCUAUGUUAGCCGGGCGACGGUUGUCCCGGUUUAAGCAUGUAGGCUGGUUGUCCAGGCAAAUCCGGAUAAUCAAGGCUGAGGUGUGAUGACGAGGCACUACGGUGCUGAAGUAACAAAUGCCCUGCUUCCAGGAAAAGCCUCUAAGCAUCAGGUAACAUUGAAUCGUACCCCAAACCGACACAGGUGGUCAGGUAGAGAAUACCAAGGCGCUUGAGAGAACUCGGGUGAAGGAACUAGGCAAAAUGGUGCCGUAACUUCGGGAGAAGGCACGCUGGUGUGUAGGUGAAGCCCCUGCGGGUGGAGCUGAGACCAGUCGAAGAUACCAGCUGGCUGCAACUGUUUAUUAAAAACACAGCACUGUGCAAACACGAAAGUGGACGUAUACGGUGUGACGCCUGCCCGGUGCCGGAAGGUUAAUUGAUGGGGUUAUCCGUAAGGAGAAGCUCUUGAUCGAAGCCCCGGUAAACGGCGGCCGUAACUAUAACGGUCCUAAGGUAGCGAAAUUCCUUGUCGGGUAAGUUCCGACCUGCACGAAUGGCGUAAUGAUGGCCAGGCUGUCUCCACCCGAGACUCAGUGAAAUUGAACUCGCUGUGAAGAUGCAGUGUACCCGCGGCAAGACGGAAAGACCCCGUGAACCUUUACUAUAGCUUGACACUGAACAUUGAGCCUUGAUGUGUAGGAUAGGUGGGAGGCUUUGAAGCGUGGACGCCAGUCUGCGUGGAGCCAACCUUGAAAUACCACCCUUUAAUGUUUGAUGUUCUAACGUUGGCCCCUUAUCGGGGUUGCGGACAGUGUCUGGUGGGUAGUUUGACUGGGGCGGUCUCCUCCCAAAGCGUAACGGAGGAGCACGAAGGUUAGCUAAUCCUGGUCGGACAUCAGGAGGUUAGUGCAAUGGCAUAAGCUAGCUUGACUGCGAGCGUGACGGCGCGAGCAGGUGCGAAAGCAGGUCAUAGUGAUCCGGUGGUUCUGAAUGGAAGGGCCAUCGCUCAACGGAUAAAAGGUACUCCGGGGAUAACAGGCUGAUACCGCCCAAGAGUUCAUAUCGACGGCGGUGUUUGGCACCUCGAUGUCGGCUCAUCACAUCCUGGGGCUGAAGUAGGUCCCAAGGGUAUGGCUGUUCGCCAUUUAAAGUGGUACGCGAGCUGGGUUUAGAACGUCGUGAGACAGUUCGGUCCCUAUCUGCCGUGGGCGCUGGAGAAUUGAGGGGGGCUGCUCCUAGUACGAGAGGACCGGAGUGGACGCAUCACUGGUGUUCGGGUUGUCAUGCCAAUGGCACUGCCCGGUAGCUAAAUGCGGAAGAGAUAAGUGCUGAAAGCAUCUAAGCACGAAACUUGCCCCGAGAUGAGUUCUCCCUGAGACUUUAAGUCUCCUGAAGGAACGUUAAAGACGAUGACGUUGAUAGGCCGGGUGUGUAAGCGCAGCGAUGCGUUGAGCUAACCGGUACUAAUGAACCGUGAGGCUUAACCUUACAACGCCGAAG
rnacentral:rRNA from 1 species